GAUGAACGCUGGCGGCGUGCUUAACACAUGCAAGUCGAACGAUGAAGCCCAGCUUGCUGGGUGGAUUAGUGGCGAACGGGUGAGUAACACGUGAGUAACCUGCUCUUAACUCUGGGAUAAGCCUGGGAAACUGGGUCUAAUACCGGAUAGGAGCGUCCACCGCAUGGUGGGUGUUGGAAAGAUUUAUCGGUUUUGGAUGGACUCGCGGCCUAUCAGCUUGUUGGUGAGGUAAUGGCUCACCAAGGCGACGACGGGUAGCCGGCCUGAGAGGGUGACCGGCCACACUGGGACUGAGACACGGCCCAGACUCCUACGGGAGGCAGCAGUGGGGAAUAUUGCACAAUGGGCGCAAGCCUGAUGCAGCGACGCCGCGUGAGGGAUGACGGCCUUCGGGUUGUAAACCUCUUUCAGUAGGGAAGAAGCGAAAGUGACGGUACCUGCAGAAGAAGCACCGGCUAACUACGUG
rnacentral:rRNA from 1 species